rnacentral:rRNA from 1 species
AAAAAAGCCACUAAGCUUCAGCUAUACACGACCGUACCGCAAACCGACACUGGUGCGCGAGAUGAGUAUUCUAAGGCGCUUGAGAGAACUCAGGAGAAGGAACUCGGCAAAUUGACACCGUAACUUCGGAAGAAGGUGUGCCCUAUUAGUGUGAAGUGAACAACGGAGCAUGAAUGGGUUGCAAAAAAUCGGUGGCUGCGACUGUUUAUUAAAAACACAGCACUCUGCAAACACGAAAGUGGACGUAUAGGGUGUGACGCCUGCCCGGUGCUGGAAGAUUAAAUGAUGGGGUGCAAGCUCUUGAUUGAAGUCCCAGUAAACGGCGGCCGUAACAAUAACGGUCCUAAGGUAGCGAAAUUCCUUGUCGGGUAAGUUCCGACCUGCACGAAUGGCGUAACGAUGGCCACACUGUCUCCUCCUGAGACUCAGCGAAGUUGAAAUGUUUGUGAUGAUGCAAUCUCCCCGCGGAAAGACGGAAAGACCCCAUGAACCUUUACUGUAGCUUUGUAUUGGACUUUGAACAGAUCUGUGUAGGAUAGGUGGGAGGCUUUGAAGCAGGGUCGCUAGAUCUUGUGGAGCCAACGUUGAAAUACCACCCUGGUGUGUUUGAGGUUCUAACCUAGGUCCAUUAUCUGGAUCGGGGACAGUGCAUGGUAGGCAGUUUGACUGGGGCGGUCUCCUCCCAAAGCGUAACGGAGGAGUUCGAAGGUACGCUAGUUACGGUCGGACAUCGUGACGAUAGUGCAAUGGCAUAAGCGUGCUUAACUGCGAGACUGACAAGUCGAGCAGAUGCGAAAGCAGGACAUAGUGAUCCGGUGGUUCUGUAUGGAAGGGCCAUCGCUCAACGGAUAAAAGGUACUCUGGGGAUAACAGGCUGAUACCGCCCAAGAGUUCAUAUCGACGGCGGUGUUUGGCACCUCGAUGUCGGCUCAUCUCAUCCUGGGGCUGUAGCCGGUCCCAAGGGUAUGGCUGUUCGCCAUUUAAAGAGGUACGUGAGCUGGGUUUAAAACGUCGUGAGACAGUUUGGUCCCUAUCUUCCGUGGGCGCUGCAGAUUUGAGGAAGCCUGCUCCUAGUACGAGAGGACCGGAGUGGACACACCUCUGGUGUAUCGGUUGUCACGCCAGUGGCAUUGCCGAGUAGCUAAGUGUGGAAGAGAUAACCGCUGAAAGCAUCUAAGCGGGAAACUCGUUUCAAGAUGAGAUCUGCCGGGGCCUUGAGCCCCCUGAAGAGUCGUUCAAGACCAGGACGUUGAUAGGUCAGGUGUGGAAGCGCAGUAAUGCGUUAAGCUAACUGAUACUAAUUGCUCGUGCGGCUUGACCCU